AACGGUAUAUGGCUUGCACUUUAAUUCUGGCUCAAUCAAUACAGUUUUUAUUCCGAAUUUGACCUUUCUGCAUUUGAUACAACUUGUGUAUUUGGCUGCCCAAUGACUUGAAUAAUGCCCACAAUGCCUUGUCUUCUCUUCAAGCCCAAUUCAUGAUGUCUUGCAUCUUGAAUUGCAUUUUCAAUCCAUAUUUUCUCAAUUAAUCCAUUUAAAGUAGCUUGCAUAUUUUUGGCUCUUGCUCUUGUAAUUGGGCCUCCAUGAAUGUGCAAAGGAUCACUUGAAGUUUUAAUGGUCCCUUGAUGGUUCUCAUCA
rnacentral:lncRNA from 1 species